GCAUGGGUUUGGAUUUAUGGCAGGCCUGUCCCCCUGGACUACUCAUAGUGUCCCAUGCCAAGCAAACUGUAGCUCUGAAGCAUAUUCUGGCCUCUGUUUGUAGAUUGCUGGCACUGAAGUGGGUUUCACAGUG
rnacentral:snoRNA from 1 species